CAGAGAGAGGCAGAGGGAGCUCCGUGGGAGAAAUCAUUCUACUUCUCCUCUCCAGCCCAGCUCCAGCAGCCUGCCCAUGUAGUGGCCAGCCAAGUGCCCACUGUGCCCUACAUGCAGACAACCUGACCAAGACAGUCCUAACUCCUGAGUCCUGACACCUGUCCUAGUCUGUCACUCACUUCUAAAAAGCCCGUGGCAGGACAAUUGACUGAAAGAAGCUUUUGAUAGCAUGUGCCAGAAGAAGGUUAAAUCAUUGAAUCCAGCAUUACCAGCCUCUCCGUCCUGGUUUACCCUGUCCUGUCCACAGCAACUACUUCCCUGGGUAAAUGACCAGCUCCCGAAUUCUUACUCAUUAUGCCAGAAAAGGCUUUGCCAGCCACUGUGGCCAUUGGAAGAGGAAACGGUGAAGAGUGGGGACUGAAGCAGCGGCUGAACAGCAGCACCGGGAGAUUGGUAAUAUAAUUUAUUCCACUAGUGACAGCAGGAGGUUAGUAGCUGCUGUCAGUGACACCAUCAGCUUUCAUCUUAUCCAGCUUUCAUGUGGAGCCACAGACCAGUUACAAAUGGAUACCACAUGGAAUUCCUCUGUAUGGAGAACCAGGUGCCAUCAUCCUACUAAUGCAUCAGAAUAAUAUCGAUUUCAAACUCUAAUGUAACAUAAUAAAAAAAUACAUAAAACGUAA